rnacentral:tRNA from 1 species
UAGCCUAGCGGUUAAGGCUAUGGAUCGCCAAUCCGGUGACGGCGGGUUCGAUUCCCGU